CGGCGGGCCUGUUCCGUCGCCCCGUUCCCCUUCCCCCACGAACAAAACCCCGGCGCACGAUGCGCCAAGGAAUCGCAACGAGAAAAGGAACGAGCACCCGUCGCGCACCGGGAACGGAAUGCGCGCGGGCGGCCUCGUAUUCUYUGAAAACAAAACGACUCUCGGCAACGGAUAUCUCGGCUCUCGCAUCGAUGAAGAACGUAGCGAAAUGCGAUACUUGGUGUGAAUUGCAGAAUCCCGUGAACCAUCGAGUCUUUGAACGCAAGUUGCGCCCGAAGCCUUCGGGCCGAGGGCACGUCUGCCUGGGUGUCAUGCACCGUCGCCCCCCAUCCCCACUCCCCCGAGGGGAGUCGGGAAGCCCGGGGCGGACAAUGGCCUCCCGUGCGCUCUCGCUCGCGGUUGGCCUAAAUCCGAGUUGUUGGCGGCGAGCGCCACGGCAAGCGGUGGUUGGAAAGACCCUCUGAAGUGUCG
rnacentral:rRNA from 1 species